rnacentral:rRNA from 1 species
AUACGUAGGGUGCGAGCGUUGUCCGGAAUUACUGGGCGUAAAGAGCUCGUAGGUGGUUUGUCGCGUCGUCUGUGAAAUUCCGGGGCUUAACUCCGGGCGUGCAGGCGAUACGGGCAUAACUUGAGUACUGUAGGGGAGACUGGAAUUCCUGGUGUAGCGGUGAAAUGCGCAGAUAUCAGGAGGAACACCGGUGGCGAAGGCGGGUCUCUGGGCAGUAACUGACGCUGAGGAGCGAAAGCAUGGGUAGCGAACAGGAUUAGAUACCCUGGUAGUCCAUGCCGUAAACGGUGGGCGCUAGGUGUAGGGGUCUUCCACGACUUCUGUGCCGUAGCUAACGCAUUAAGCGCCCCGCCUGGGGAGUACGGCCGCAAGGCUAAAACUCAAAGGAAUUGACGG